rnacentral:lncRNA from 1 species
GCCGCCGUGAAACCAGCCUGCCGAGCGGCUUUCCGCUCCGUGGCCCCAGGGCUGGCCGGGCGGGACGCGCCCGCCUCGGCUCGGCUGGGAGCCAGCCCACCACGGAUGGAAGGAACACCCCGGGACGCUGGGCCGGAGAAACUACUUCCUCCUCGACUUGUGGGCGUCCGGUAUUUUGUGCCAGCGACCAGAAACCUAAUACAGCAAAGUAAGACCAGCUUCCUACACGGGAUCUCCGAAAAUCCCACAGACAGAAACAACCAAAUCUUCAUCCACAGACUAAUGGAUAAACAAAAUAUGGACUCUGGUGCGUGGCCUAAAGGCGAAUCAAAACAACUCUUGACUCAGCAUUGGUCAAGAUCUGGAUUGGAGCCUCAGCACCACAAAGACAAAACACGAAUGUGGAAAUGAGUACAGCGGAGGACAAUUAGUCAGAAAAAGAAAGGAAAUUCUGAAACCUGCUACAACAGCCAUGAAUCUUGAGGAAAUCAUGCCAGGCAAAAUGCACAAGUCACAGAAUACCACACACAUCGGGGCUGGGGAUUUAGCUCAGCGGCAUAAGCGCCUGCCUUGCAAGCAGGCAGUCGUGAGUUCGAUCUCCGGUACCAAUAAAAAGGAAAAAGACAAAAAAAAAAAAAAAAAAGAAAAGAAAACCACACACAUGGCUUAGAUAGCUCAAGCCCAUAGAAGAUAGAACAGACCAGUGCUUGCCUCGUCCCAAGAGAAGAGCUACACUACAUGUCUCAACAGAGAAAGAAUGAUGAGGAAGAUUAUAUUAGGGAGCAAACCUUAAUGAAACUUAGCUGUGUAGCUAUGGAGUUUCCUACCACUCCACUGCUCACAAAACAAAAUUCAAAGUGUGAUCGGCUCACCAGGUUUCAACAAACCAAAGAGCUUCUGCUGACUGGCCACACAUCCUCUCCUUACUCCCAGUAACUGGGUGGCUUUAUGUGAGUCCCACCCAGAAACUACACGAGAAUGAGACUCAUAACGUACAUGAUCUUAGCCAAAAGACCAAGAAGCAAUUAUCAUACUGUUAAGUCAAGCAAUGUAGGCACUGAAACCACAAAUUGACCCGUCCUACAAGAGCUUCCCUGACCUACCAGGCUGGGAAGAAACAAAUAGCCAGAAGUACUAAGAAAGCAUCCUAGGUGGCCUGGCAUUGAGGCACAACAAGCCUUGAAUCCCAGCUACUCCCAAGGCUGUGAUUGGGCAAGUCCCAGGCCAGCCUGGGCACAUCGGCCAGACCCUGCAAGAAAAAAGGCUCACGAGGGAG